CUCACCAAUUGAGAUUCGAAGAGUAAAAUUCUUGUGCUCUGUUCGUUCUCUUCCUCGCCAUGGAAAUCGACUCACAGAAGAUUCUCCAGCGCAAGCAAUGUCCCUAUGAUCUAUCGGAUGAACCGUACAAGAUCAGAAGGAGAUGUCCAAGGGCCAGCAAUACAGUCACAUUUACUUUGCUCGACUCCACUUGAUGAAAACGAUACUCAGUUCACUUGUCUCUAACUGGAAACCUCAUUUACCUGGUGAAAGUUUGUCUUGAAAACAAUGUCUUGAAGUUUGUACUGUACUGGGAUUGGAGGAAGGCAAGGAAUGUGUCAUUGUUGGAACCUGAAACUUAAACCUACCAUUCUGGAUGAGUAUCCAUAGGAGCUUAACUUGAGAAAUCUUGAAUGCCACGCUCUUGAGUUUUGGGACUGAAUUCAUAUGAUGACGUGCGAUCCCACAUCGGUUGGGGGAGAAUGAAACAUUCUUUAUAAGGGUGUCGGAACUUCUCCCCAGUAGACAUGUUUUAAAAACCUUGAGAGAAAGCAUGAAAGUAUGGUAGGCUUGGGCGGUUACAAAUGGUAUUAGAGCCAGACACGGGGCGAUUUGCCAGAAAGAAGGCUGAGCUCCGAAUGGAGGUGGACACGAGUCGGUGUGCCAGCAAGGACGCUGGGCCCUGAAGUGAGGUGGAUUGUGAGAUCCCAUAUUGGUUGGGGAGGAGAACAAAACAUUUCUCCCAAGCAGACGCGUUUUAAAAAUCUCGAGAGAAAUCUUGAAAGGCAACGUCAAAAAGGAUAAUAUCUGCUAGUGGGCUUGGACUUGAGCUUGGGUUGUUACGUAUCGUUAUGACAAAGAAACGUUAAAGAGGUGAAGAAUCGAGUUUCACCUUUUUAAGUCGCUUCUGCAGGGGGCUGAGAAUCAAAAAUUUACCUGCUUCUAAGAAAAUGAGGAUUCAAAAAGUAAUGUGCUGCAGGAUCAUCUCCAUUUUCUCUACGGUAAACAUUUUUUGGGGGAGAAUCACCUUGGAGAGAGCAAAUCAAGAGAAAGUGGUGAUGGGUGAGUGAGAAUGGCCAUGCUCCAAACAUACUAGCUGGCUUUGGUAGGCCCUCCCCAACAGUAUAGGAAUUCUAGAAUGACGAGUGUCUGAAUUUGGCUGGCAUUGUUGGGCUCAGAUUUGUAUGUGCCAUAAAACUUCACAUACUUCCUAUUUUUGCGCUGAAAACUUCCUGAUAUAAAUAAUUAUUAGUCUUGUUGGAUCUUACAUUAAAUUUAAAGGAUCCUGACGUUUUUAGGUGUGAUAUGGGUGGAGCAUGGACGAAACCGAACAGCAUUCGAAUUUCACGAACUGGGGGCACCCUUCAUCAGGCCGACUAGGUGAGUUUGUGCUUUGUCGAGCCUUUUUACCCUAUUUUCACCUCACACACUAGAGCUAGAUGUACACAAAGAACAGUAGAUAGAACUAUUGACUAAAGAUUUAUAUUAAUGACUUCUAAUUCAAUCUA